rnacentral:rRNA from 1 species
UACGUAGGGGGCUAGCGUUGCUCGGAAUCACUGGACGUAAAGCGCACGUAGGCGGAUUGUUAAGUCAGGGGUGAAAUCCUGGAGCUCAACUCCAGAACUGCCUUUGAUACUGGCGAUCUUGAGUCCGGGAGAGGUGAGUGGAACUGCGAGUGUAGAGGUGAAAUUCGUAGAUAUUCGCAAGAACACCAGUGGCGAAGGCGGCUCACUGGCCCGGUACUGACGCUGAGGUGCGAAAGCGUGGGGAGCAAACAGG